rnacentral:snRNA from 1 species
GUGCUUACUUCAGUAGCACAUACACUAAAACUGGAAUGACAAGAUUAGCAUGGUCCCUGUGUAAAGAUUACAUACUAAUUCAUGAAGCAUUCCAUAUUUUU